GAUGAACGCUGGCGGCGUGCCUAAUACAUGCAAGUCGAGCGAACGGACGAGAAGCUUGCUUUUCUGAUGUUAGCGGCGGACGGGUGAGUAACACGUGGAUAACCUACCUAUAAGACUGGGAUAACUUCGGGAAACCGGAGCUAAUACCGGAUAAUAUUUUGAACCGCAUGGUUCAAAAGUGAAAGACGGGCUUGCUGUCACUUAUAGAUGGAUCCGCGCUGCAUUAGCUAGUUGGUAAGGUAACGGCUUACCAAGGCAACGAUGCAUAGCCGACCUGAGAGGGUGAUCGGCCACACUGGAACUGAGACACGGUCCAGACUCCUACGGGAGGCAGCAGUAGGGAAUCUUCCGCAAUGGGCGAAAGCCUGACGGAGCAACGCCGUGUGAGUGAUGAAGGUCUUCGGAUCGUAAAACUCUGUUAUUAGGGAAGAACAUAUGUGUAAGUAACUGUGCACAUCUUGACGGUACCUAAUCAGAAAGCCACGGCUAACUACGUG
rnacentral:rRNA from 1 species